UUCAGCUUUGUGAAGAUGAGAUCGAUCAAGUUGCAAUGAGCCAAAGAAAUGCACAAACAUUGAAGAAGCCAUUAAACUAUUCAAUGUGAAUUGCUGACAUACAAGACCUCUUGAAGCGUUGAAGAGGAGGAUCAAGUAGACCAUGUGCCUGAUAGCAUGAUAAGAUAAUCAAACUUUAAUGUUUUUUUUUUUUUUUUUUUUUUUUUUUUAAUAGGAAACUCCUGUGACUAACUUAGAGAUUGAGUCUGUUGUAUUAAUAUUGAGAUUUAUAUUAAUGGUAAUCUGCAUGUCUAUAUAUAUCCAUAACCUUAUACACUCAUAUCUUGAUACCAGUGCAAGUUUCAGUACUUAUUUCCAUAAUUAGCAGUGCUAGUA